AGUGCCUCCACAGAGGCAAUGCUAACACAAAGGAACAAGCACAAGCUCAGCUCUGGUUAUGGAACAGGAGUCUCCCUGUCCUCCUCAUAACUGAAUUCAUGCCAGUAAGCCAGGAAAGGAGUGCAAGAGAGCCCAGGCCCAGAGCUGUUUGACUCUUGCCUGCCUGAGAGCUGUUGUGAGUCAGCCAGAGAGACGGACGGAGAGGACCAUAAUUCUCAGGAUGGCAGCAUCCUUGGUGCUGUCCCGUCCAGCAAUUAAACAACACCUUUCAAGAUUUACAGGUCCAGAAAAUAAGACAGGCUGUGGCUUCCCCAUGGAUUCCUUUGGACCUGCUGGCAGAGAGACAGGCUUUGAAAGGGAAAAUAAAACCUUCCUUGUCCAGAACCAUGUAGUCUGCAUGAUCUGAAAGACAAGAUGGGACACCGUGUCUGGAUCUAUUACCACCCUACAAAAACUACCAUUAGGAAAACAGAA